UUUCGCAAUGCCCGAAAGGGUGACGAAGCGACGCCGCGUGCGGGAAGAAGGCCUUCGGGUUGUAAACCGCUGUCGGGAGUUAAGAAAUGCAAGGAUAUUAAUAGUGUCUUUGCUUGACUAAGGCUCCGGAGGAAGCCACGGCUAACUCUGUGCCAGCAGCCGCGGUAAUACAGAGGCGGCAAGCGUUGUUCGGAAUUAUUGGGCGUAAAGAGCACGUAGGCGGCCGUGUAAGUCGGUUGUGAAAGCCUUCCGCUCAACGGGAGAACGGCAUCCGAUACUGCAUGGCUCGAGUGCGGGAGGGGAGAGUGGAACUUCUGGUGGAGCGGUGAAAUGCGUAGAUAUCAGAAGGAACGCCGGCGGCGAAAGCGGCUCUCUGGCCCAUAACUGACGCUGAGUGUGCGAAAGCUAGGGGAGCAAACGGGAUUAGAUACCCCGGUAGUCCUAGCCGUAAACGAUGGGCACUAAGUAGAGGGGUUUU
rnacentral:rRNA from 1 species